GAUGUCAGCCAGGUUGGUGUCUUCUGA
rnacentral:piRNA from 1 species